rnacentral:rRNA from 1 species
UACGUAGGUAGCAAGCGUUGUCCGGAAUUAUUGGGCGUAAAGCGCGCGCAGGCGGUCCUUUAAGUCUGAUGUGAAAGCCCACGGCUCAACCGUGGAGGGUCAUUGGAAACUGGGGGACUUGAGUACAGAAGAGAAGAGUGGAAUUCCACGUGUAGCGGUGAAAUGCGUAGAGAUGUGGAGGAACACCAGUGGCGAAGGCGACUCUUUGGUCUGUAACUGACGCUGAGGCGCGAAAGCGUGGGGAGCAAACAGG